GAGUUUGAUCGUGGCUCAGAACGAACGCUGGCGGCGGGCCUCAUACAUGCAAGUCGAGCGCGAAAGUCCGCAAGGAUGAGUAAAGCGGCGCACGGGUGCGUAACACGUGGAUAAUCUACCCUUUGGAUUGGAAUAACCUGUCGAAAGACGGGCUAAUGCCGAGUAAGCUCUCGAGAUCGUGAUGGUCUUGCGAGGAAAGAUGGCGCAAGCUAUCGCCGUUGGAUGAGUCUGCGUCCCAUUAGUUAGUUGGUGGGGUAAAAGCUUACCAAGGCAAUGAUGGGUACCUGGUCUGGGAGGAUGAUCAGGCACACUGGAACUGAAACACGGUCCAGACUCCUACGGGAGGCAGCAGUAGGGAAUAUUACGCAAUGGACGAAAGUCUGACGCAGCCACGCCGCGUGAGUGAAGAAGGCCUU
rnacentral:rRNA from 1 species